UACGUAGGGUGCAAGCGUUGUCCGGAAUCAUUGGGCGUAAAGCGCGUGUAGGCGGCCAGAAAAGUCCGCUGUGAAAACUCGAGGCUCAACUUCGAGCUGUCGGUGGAAACUUUCUGGCUAGAGUCCGGAAGAGGAGAAUGGAAUUCCUGGUGUAGCGGUGAAAUGCGCAGAUAUCAGGAAGAACACCAAUGGCGAAAGCAGCUUUCUGGGACGGUACUGACGCUGAGACGCGAAAGCGUGGGGAGCGAACAGG
rnacentral:rRNA from 1 species